AUUGAACGCUGGCGGCAGGCCUAACACAUGCAAGUCGAGCGGCAGCGGGAAAGUAGCUUGCUACUUUUGCCGGCGAGCGGCGGACGGGUGAGUAAUGCCUGGGAAAUUGCCCAGUCGAGGGGGAUAACAGUUGGAAACGACUGCUAAUACCGCAUACGCCCUACGGGGGAAAGCAGGGGACCUUCGGGCCUUGCGCGAUUGGAUAUGCCCAGGUGGGAUUAGCUAGUUGGUGAGGUAAUGGCUCACCAAGGCGACGAUCCCUAGCUGGUCUGAGAGGAUGAUCGGCCACAGUGGAACUGAGACACGGCCCAGACUCCUACGGGAGGAAGCAGUGGGGAAUAUUGCACAAGGGGGGAAACCCUGAUGCAGCCAUGCCGCGUGUGUGAAGAAGGCCUUCGGGUUGUAAAGCACUUUCAGCGAGGAGGAAAGGUUGAUGCCUAAUACGUAUCAACUGUGACGUUACUCGCAGAAGAAGCACCGGCUAACUCCGUGCCAGCCGCCGCCGUAACAC
rnacentral:rRNA from 1 species